rnacentral:rRNA from 1 species
GGCGAACGGGUGAGUAACACGUGAGCAACGUGCCCAAGACUCUGGAAUAACUUCGGGAAACCGGAGCUAAUACUGGAUACGAGACGUAAAGGCAUCUUUAGCGUCUGGAAAGAAUUUCGGUCUUGGAUCGGCUCACGGCCUAUCAGCUUGUUGGUGAGGUAAUGGCUCACCAAGGCGACGACGGGUAGCCGGCCUGAGAGGGUGACCGGCCACACUGGGACUGAGACACGGCCCAG